GGUGGGGCUUCCUGUCACAGCCCUGCAGGGUUUGUUGGGUGAGGCUGAUUGGUUGCAGAAGUAGCCACAGUUCCAGAACCAAGUCAUGCCACUCACCAUCCCAGGGUAUAGUUAAACAUACCUUAGGGCGAUAAUAUCCCGAGCAACAAAGCAAACCAUCAUGAAGAAGCUGUUGGGCACUGUGCUGGGGCUUUUGUGCACCCAGAUUUGCUGUGUGAGAGGGGUGCAGGUGGAGCAGAGUCCCCCAGCCCUGAGUCUCCAGGAGGGAAACAGUUCCACGCUGCAGUGCAAAUUUUCCACUUCUGUGAACAAUGUGCAGUGGUUUCGCCAAAAUCCUGGGGGCGCUCUCAUCCGCCUAUUUUACAUUCCUUCAGGGAAAAAGGUGAAUGAAAGAUUAACCGCUACUACAGACCCUGGAGAACGCAGCAGCGUGUUGUCUAUUUCCUCUCUCCAGACCACAGACUCAGCUAUUUAUUUGUGUGCUGUGGAGGCACAGUGCUCCCCAGACACCUGCAGCCUGUACACAAACCCUCAGCUGGGCUCAGCUCCUCUUCCAACCACAAUCACAUCACAAAAUCACCACGCAGCAUUUACACAGCUUAACAUUCCUAACCCACACUGGUAGGGUUUUAUUUUUUAUAUUUAUUUAUUUACUUAAUUUACUGGUAGGGUUUUAACCACAGAUACUUUUGGGUCUUACAGGUUGGGGGCUCUGGUCUUGAUCUUUCCUUCUCAGUCUACUCCUCUUCCUGGACUUCUCGAUUAGAACUGACAGAUUAGCUGAUAAGAGGACAGAACUAAUAUAAAUAUUUAAGCCACAAUAUACUGGACUCCAAAAGAGUAAAAUGUGAGAGGCAUGAAAAGAACAGAAAAAUUACUCCAACAAAGAUGUUAUUACACAAUAUGCAGCUUAGUGGGUGUCUCCAGAAUGUUCACGUCAGCCUCACCACAAUGUGUCCCAAGACAACUGCAGAUACUUCUAUCCCAUACUACUAGUGCGGCACAGCAAACAAACAAAAAUUGCUGAAUGUUUAUAUAUUGAAAAAUCCCUGGAAAAGCUUGAAAAUGAAUAUUCCAUUCAACUGAUUGCCAUUCAUGUUCUCAAGUUCAUUUGAUGUCCUAGGAUAUCGUCUUUCCUGGAGAAUGUUCCCUCCAUGCUUGAGAAGAAUGUGUGUCCUCUUACUGUAGGGUGGGUGUCUGUUACAUCUACUUGUUUUAUAGUGUUGUUCAACGUUUCUGUUUCCUUGUUGAUAUUCUGUCUAGUGUUCUGGUAUUGAAAGUGACAUAUUGAAGUCUCCAACUAUUAUCAUUGAAUUAUCUGUCUCUCCCUUCAAUUCUGUCCAUUUUUGCUUCAUGUAUUUACCAAAAUACAUGUAAAUUCAUUUUAUAUAAAUGCCCUUUAGUUCAGUUAAGAGAAGGGAGAAUAAAUAUGCAAUUACACUGUAUUUUAUAAUUACCUAAAAAUUACCUUAAUGAUGUACUUUUGUGUCUUUGAAAGGAUGCACAUUCCUCUCUGGGGCCAUUUGCUUUUAGCCAGAAGAAAAUUCUUUAUUAUUUCUUGUAAAGCAGAUCUGAGAGCAAUGAAUGCUCUUCUUGUAUUUAUCUGGGACUGUCUUUUAUUACUUUAAUUCUUCAAAGAUACUUUUAUCAAAUAUAAGAUUUUUCAUUAAUGGUAUUUUCUUCUGUUUGUAUUUUACUUCAAAUAUAUCUUCCCGCUGCCUUCUGGCUCCAUUGUUUUUGGUUGAGAAGAGAAGUCAGUUUUUAGUUUUAUUAGAAACACUUUGUAUGUAAAGAUUUGUUUUUCUCUUUGCUUUUAGGAUUUUCUGUUUAUCUUUCAAUAUUUUUACUAUGUGUCUGAGUGUGAAUCUCUUUGAAUUUAUCCCACAUAGACUUGUUGUGCUUCUGAAAUGAAUAGAUUAUUUUUUGGCAAUUUGGGAUAGUUCUCAGCCAUUAUUUCUUAAAAUAUUUUUUUUGUGUUACUUUCUCUCUCCUCUCCUUCUGGUACUACCAUUAAGCACAUGUUGGUGUUCUUAAUGAUGUCCCAUGUUUCUCUAUGUCUGUGUUCAUUUGACUUCAUUCUUUUUUCCCUCCUUUUCACAGAUUGUAUAAUCUUUGCAGAUCUACCUUCAAAUUCACUGAUUCCUUAUUUGGAGAGGUCUGAUCUACAACUGAACCUCUUUAGUGAAUUUUUCAUUUUGGUUAUUGUAUUUUCUAACCAGAAUUUUCGUUUUCUUCGUUUUAAAAACAAUUUGUACCUCUUUAUUGGUAUUUUCUAUUUGAUGAGAUACUGUCAGCAUAUUUUGUUUAAGCAUGAUUUCCAUUAGUUUUUAAAAAGAUAUUUAAUCUUGGUACUUUGAGUUCUUUCACUGCUAAGACCAACCUCUGAACCUUUUUAAUAGCAGUCUCUAUUGCCCAAUGUUGUACUGUGAAAGCAUUACAAUUUCUGUUUCUUCUCCUAUCUCAUAUUUUUUGUUGAAAAUGGAACAUUUUAGAGAAUAUAUUUGAUAUCGUUUCCUAUGGAUGCUGUUAUGGGUAGAAUUGUGCCUCUUCCACCCCAGUUUAUAUGUUGAAAUCCUAGAGAAUGUGAACUUCUUUGGAAAUAGAGUCAUUGCAAAUAUUGACUAGUUCAUUACAUUGGGCCCUAAUCCAAUAUGACUGAUGUCCUUAUAAAAAGAGGAAAUUUAGACACAGAGACAGACACACAGGGAGACAUUCAUAUGAAGAUGAAAGCAGAGACUGGAGUAAUGUUUCUACUACCAAGGAACACAAAAUAUUGCUACCAAACCAUCAGACGCUGAGUAAGAGGAAUGGAACAGAGUCUUUCUCAUUGCCCUCAGAAGAAAUCAUCUUUCCUAAUACAUUGAUCUUGGACUUGAAGCUUUCAGAAAUAUGAGACAAUAAGUUGCUGUUAUUUAAGCUUUCUAUGUAAUUUGUAAUAGUUUGUUACAGCAACUAUAGCAAAUGAAUGCGUGAAUGUGCUAUAAUAAAUUCAUGACCACUGUACUCAUGGUGUUCAAAAGCUGGAAACCACCCAAAUGUUCUUAGUUGGAUGAAUGGAGUGAAUUGUAGAACAUUCAUAUAAUGGAAUACUAUUUAGUAAUAAAAAGA